CACAAGCCAGCCUGGCACCCAGGCUUCUGCUAUGAGUUGGCUGUAACAGGCUAUCCAUGCAGAGGGUCCACUGCCGCUCUUGUGGAACCAAGUUCUCUUUAUCACCUGCCACUAGAGACUUCCCUUGCCCCUCCCUUCCCGGCUCCAGCCUGGGUGUUGUGCAAGAGCCAGAGGAAUUUGUGAUAAUGGAGCCACAUGCCCAGGCCCAACCCAGGCCCAAGGAACUUGACCUGAAGCGGGAGGGUAAGCAAGAACCUCCUAGCUCCCAGGCCAGAAGGGUGGCCAGCAGCCACAAGGAAACUCCUAGUCCUUCUGAAUGCUGCCAAGAAGAGGAGUAACGAGAAUGCAGUCCACAGGACUGCCAUCCUGCCUGGGAAAGUCACCAAGGUGUCACCAUCUUGAAAGGAAGGGCCAUGCCUUCACUGUCAUGUGACUGGUUUAGUAUCACCUAUGAGAUCUGAUGGGAUGUUUCCAGGAGACAACUCAAGAAGGAAGACCCGCCAUGAAUGUGACCUCCAUCCUACGGGCUGGAGGCCUGGACUGAGUAAGAAGGACAUCGCAAGCUAAGCCCUACUGUUCGUCUUUCUCCAUUGCUUGGUGAGAUGCAAGGUCACCGGCUGCCUUGCACUCCCGAUGUCAAGCCUACCUUGCUGUGGUGACAUUCCUUCAAGCCAAGUGCUGAAAUGAACCCUUGUGUUGCUUGUG